rnacentral:rRNA from 1 species
CAAUAGCCGCGGUAAUACGGAGGGCGCGAGCGUUACCCGGAUUUACUGGGCGUAAAGGGCGUGUAGGCGGCCUGGGGCGUCCCAUGUGAAAGGCCACGGCUCAACCGUGGAGGAGCGUGGGAUACGCUCAGGCUAGAGGGUGGGAGAAGGUGGUGGAAUUCCCGGAGUAGCGGUGAAAUGCGCAGAUACCGGGAGGAACGCCGAUGGCGAAGGCAGCCACCUGGUCCACUUCUGACGCUGAGGCGCGAAAGCGUGGGGAGCAAACCGGAUUAGAUACCCGGGUAGUCCCUGUCUCUUAUAA